rnacentral:rRNA from 1 species
AGUGAACGCUGGCGGUAGGCCUAACACAUGCAAGUCGAACGGCAGCACAGUAAGAGCUUGCUCUUACGGGUGGCGAGUGGCGGACGGGUGAGGAAUACAUCGGAAUCUACUUUUUCGUGGGGGAUAACGUAGGGAAACUUACGCUAAUACCGCAUACGACCUACGGGUGAAAGCAGGGGAUCUUCGGACCUUGCGCGAUUGAAUGAGCCGAUGUCGGAUUAGCUAGUUGGCGGGGUAAAGGCCCACCAAGGCGACGAUCCGUAGCUGGUCUGAGAGGAUGAUCAGCCACACUGGAACUGAGACACGGUCCAGACUCCUACGGGAGGCAGCAGUGGGGAAUAUUGGACAAUGGGAGCAAGCCUGAUCCAGCCAUACCGCGUGGGUGAAGAAGGCCUUCGGGUUGUAAAGCCCUUUUGUUGGGAAAGAAAAGCAGCAGGUUAAUACCCCGCUGUUCUGACGGUACCCAAAGAAUAAGCACCGGCUAACUUCGU